ACGAACGCUGGCGGCGUGCCUAAUACAUGCAAGUCGAGCGAACUUGCGGGAGCUUGCUCCCAAAAGUUAGCGGCGGACGGGUGAGUAACACGUGGGCAACCUGCCUGUAAGACUGGGAUAACUUCGGGAAACCGGAGCUAAUACCGGAUAAUUCUUUUCUACUCAUGUAGGAAAGCUGAAAGAUGGCUUCGGCUAUCACUUACAGAUGGGCCCGCGGCGCAUUAGCUAGUUGGUGAGGUAACGGCUCACCAAGGCAACGAUGCGUAGCCGACCUGAGAGGGUGAUCGGCCACACUGGGACUGAGACACGGCCCCGACUCCUACGGGAGGCAGCAGUAGGGAAUCUUCCGCAAUGGACGAAAGUCUGACGGAGCAACGCCGCGUGAGUGAUGAAGGUUUUCGGAUCGUAAAACUCUGUUGUUAGGGAAGAACAAGUACCGUUCGAAUAGGGCGGUACCUUGACGGUACCUAACCAGAAAGCCACGGCUAACUACGUGCCAGCAGCCGCGGUAAUACGUAGGUGGCAAGCGUUGUCCGGAAUUAUUGGGCGUAAGCGCGCGCAGGCGGUCCUUUAAGUCUGAUGUGAAAGCCCACGGCUCAACCGUGGAGGGUCAUUGGAAACUGGGGGACUUGAGUGCAGAAGAGGAGAGUGGAAUUCCACGUGUAGCGGUGAAAUGCGUAGAGAUGUGGAGGAACACCAGUGGCGAAGGCGACUCUCUGGUCUGUAACUGACGCUGAGGCGCGAAAGCGUGGGGAGCGAACAGGAUUAGAUACCCUGGUAGUCCACGCCGUAAACGAUGAGUGCUAAGUGUUAGAGGGUUUCCGCCCUUUAGUGCUGCAGCAAACGCAUUAAGCACUCCGCCUGGGGAGUACGGCCGCAAGGCUGAAACUCAAAGGAAUUGACGGGGGCCCGCACAAGCGGUGGAGCAUGUGGUUUAAUUCGAAGCAACGCGAAGAACCUUACCAGGUCUUGACAUCCUCUGACAAUCCUAGAGAUAGGACUUUCCCCUUCGGGGGACAGAGUGACAGGUGGUGCAUGGUUGUCGUCAGCUCGUGUCGUGAGAUGUUGGGUUAAGUCCCGCAACGAGCGCAACCCUUGAUUUUAGUUGCCAGCAUUCAGUUGGGCACUCUAAGGUGACUGCCGGUGACAAACCGGAGGAAGGUGGGGAUGACGUCAAAUCAUCAUGCCCCUUAUGACCUGGGCUACACACGUGCUACAAUGGAUGGUACAAAGGGCUGCAAGACCGCGAGGUUUAGCCAAUCCCAUAAAACCAUUCUCAGUUCGGAUUGCAGGCUGCAACUCGCCUGCAUGAAGCCGGAAUCGCUAGUAAUCGCGGAUCAGCAUGCCGCGGUGAAUACGUUCCCGGGCCUUGUACACACCGCCCGUCACACCACGAGAGUUUGUAACACCCGAAGUCGGUGGGGUAACCGCAAGGAGCCAGCCGCCUAAGGUGGGACAGAUGAUUGGGGUG
rnacentral:rRNA from 1 species